ACAAAUAGCUUAAAUUAAAGCUAGGCACUGAAGAUGCCUCCAUGGAGUAUUCCUUUGUCAA
rnacentral:tRNA from 1 species